GACGAACGCUGGCGGCGUGCUUAACACAUGCAAGUCGAACGGAAAGGCCCUGCUUUUGUGGGGUGCUCGAGUGGCGAACGGGUGAGUAACACGUGAGUAACCUGCCCUUGACUUUGGGAUAACUUCAGGAAACUGGGGCUAAUACCGGAUAGGAGCUCCUGCUGCAUGGUGGGGGUUGGAAAGUUUCGGCGGUUGGGGAUGGACUCGCGGCUUAUCAGCUUGUUGGUGGGGUAGUGGCUUACCAAGGCUUUGACGGGUAGCCGGCCUGAGAGGGUGACCGGCUACAUUGGGACUGAGAUACGGCCCAGACUCCUACGGGAGGCAGCAGUGGGGAAUAUUGCACAAUGGGCGGAAGCCUGAUGCAGCAACGCCGCGUGCGGGAUGACGGCCUUCGGGUUGUAAACCGCUUUCGCCUGUGACGAAGCGUGAGUGACGGUAAUGGGUAAAGAAGCACCGGCUAACUACGUGCCAGCAGCCGCGGUGAUACGUAGGGUGCGAGCGUUGUCCGGAUUUAUUGGGCGUAAAGGGCUCGUGGGUGGUUGAUCGCGUCGGAAGUGUAAUCUUGGGGCUUAACCCUGAGCGUGCUUUCGAUACGGGUUGACUUGAGGAAGGUAGGGGAGAAUGGAAUUCCUGGUGGAGCGGUGGAAUGCGCAGAUAUCAGGAGGAACACCAGUGGCGAAGGCGGUUCUCUGGGCCUUUCCUGACGCUGAGGAGCGAAAGCGUGGGGAGCGAACAGGCUUAGAUACCCUGGUAGUCCACGCUGUAAACGGUGGGUACUAGGUGUGGGGUCCAUUCCACGGGUUCCGUGCCGUAGCUAACGCUUUAAGUACCCCGCCUGGGGAGUACGGCCGCAAGGCUAAAACUCAAAGGAAUUGACGGGGCCCCGCACAAGCGGCGGAGCAUGCGGAUUAAUUCGAUGCAACGCGUAGAACCUUACCUGGGUUUGACAUGGAUCGGGAGUGCUCAGAGAUGGGUGUGCCUCUUUUGGGGUCGGUUCACAGGUGGUGCAUGGCUGUCGUCAGCUCGUGUCGUGAGAUGUUGGGUUAAGUCCCGCAACGAGCGCAACCCUUGUUCACUGUUGCCAGCACGUUAUGGUGGGGACUCAGUGGAGACCGCCGGGGUCAACUCGGAGGAAGGUGGGGAUGACGUCAAGUCAUCAUGCCCCUUAUGUCCAGGGCUUCACGCAUGCUACAAUGGCUGGUACAGAGAGUGGCGAGCCUGUGAGGGUGAGCGAAUCUCGGAAAGCCGGUCUCAGUUCGGAUUGGGGUCUGCAACUCGACCUCAUGAAGUCGGAGUCGCUAGUAAUCGCAGAUCAGCAACGCUGCGGUGAAUACGUUCCCGGGGC
rnacentral:rRNA from 1 species